GAUGAAGAACGUAGCGAAAUGCGAUACGUAAUGUGAAUUGCAGAAUUCAGUGAAUCAUCGAAUCUUUGAACGCAUAUUGCGCUCUCUGGUAUUCCGGAGAGCAUGCUUGUUUGAGUAUCAGUAAACACCUCAACUCUUUUUUCUUUUUUGAAAUUGGAGCUGGACUUGAGUGAUCCCAACGCUUUCUUCCAAGAAAGUGGCGGGUUGCUUGAAAUGCAGGUGCAGCUGAACUUUUCUCUGAGCGAUAGGCAUAUCUAUUUAGUCUGCCUAAAAAACAGAUUAUUACCUUUGCUGCAGCUAACAUAAAGGAGACUAGUUCUUGUGCUGACUGAUGCAGGAUUCACAGAGACAGCUUCGGCUGACUUUGUAAACUCGAUCUCAAAUCAAGUAAGACUACCCGCUGAACUUAAGCAUAUCAAUAAGCGGAGGA
rnacentral:misc_RNA from 1 species